UGAAGAAAAUAUUUUUUAAUAAUUAUUUGUGGAUUUUUAUGAUUUUAUAAUUUUUUUUAAAAUUUUAAAUAGCUGAUUUCAUGACAGAAUGUUUAAUGUCCUACAGGAUGUUUUAGCCCUUAGUAGAACACAUGUCUGUAUAAAUGCAUAUUUAAAGAAGGGUUUUUCUUAUUGUUCUUCAUUUCUGAUUUUGCCAACAAAACUGGAAUUUUCCUAUAUAUUCCACUCUUGUUAUUAAAUUUGUUCUUUCCUUUUUCUUGUAACUUACUGUUAUUAUUAUGAAAAUGAUAAAAAUAUACUUUGUUGAAUUUUAACAUAUUUCUAUGAACAUAUGUGUAUAUGCGAUAUUGAGUAGAUCUAUGAUCAAAAUUGACUACAUACACAGAUAUACUCUAUUUUACGACAACAAAAGUGUUAACUAGUUAAAUGACUAUGGUUUUUACUAUAAAAUUUACUUACUUGAAACUGACAGAAACCUAUUUUUGUCCCAUUUUUGUUAAAUCUUAAUUUAUAAUACCGAAUUGAUAUUCAUAGAGCAGGCUAAAUAUGUGAUUUUUCUAAAUUAUGCAAGUUUAAAAGUUCCCUUGGAAUUGAUGUUCUUGAAGGGCUUUUUAUGUUUCAAAUACAAUUACAGCAUAACUUGAGAUUUGUUUAUGUAUAGUAAGCUCCCAAUUACCCAGUUCUUGAUUAUCUGGAUUUGUCUAUAUAUAGUAAGCUCCCAAUUACCCAGUUCCUGAUUAUCUGGACUGGCAAAAAAAAUUAGUAUAGGAUGAGCGAUAUUGUUUGUAGAUAUUGGUAGGUGGGGAUGUCAAAAAUAAGAAAAUGCUUAAGCGGUCGCCUGUUUAUUUUGACUCUUUUUAGUCAUAAAUUUCAACAUUUUUGUACUUCAUUAGCUUUUUAUAAGGCCGUGUGAAGUAUACUUCCCACUAAACUUAUCAAUUUUUAAAUGUAGACGGGAAGUUGAUUUCCCACCAAUGAUUUUUGCAGUGAUAUGCUGAUAACUUCAGAAAAAAAGUAGAUAAUACCAAUGACGAGGGCUUUGUUUACAUAAAUGUGGGUAACAGUAAGUGCAGCCAAGAAGAAAGGUUGACACUGGGGAGCUAUAAUCUUUUACGCAUUAUGCUUAUUUAUUUGAUAAUCUCUCAUCGACUUUAUUUGUAUUUAUAAACACAUAAUUUAUAAAUUCGACUAUUUAUAAGCAAAGAAGUCGAGGUACAUCACAAAUUCUUUACAGUACAUAGAUAAAAUUUUGAAUAUUACAACCCACCAAAAAAUGGUUUUGAAAAUCAAUUUACUUUUAGGAAAUAAUCUUGAUGAAUUCCUUUUUAUGUCCACAAACUUUUAACAUAACAGUACUAAAAAAGGUGGUCCUGAAAGGGUUAUUUAUUCAUUACUUAUCCUGAAAUGUGUCGCAUGUAUUUUUAAUACAGAUGAUUAGAUAAGAAGUGAAACUAUCCUAUAUGGCUUUUUUGUUAUUUGGUCUGCUCUUACGUCACAUCAAACUGGAUAGUUGGGAGCCUUAAUAUUAAGAGGCAAUUAUUCUUUUUUUCUGUACAUUUAAUCAAUUAUUAUUAGGAAGCUCUGCAAAAUUGUCUUAUAAAUUAUUACUGUAAUAAAAUUAAUUAAUAAAAUAAUACAUUAAUAUUAUUAACUAAUAUUUGCUUACUCAAGAUUUCAAUAUUUUUGGUUCAGUUAUCCUUAUUUCUGUGCAUCUUAUUGAUAAAAUUUAAUUUAGCUAUAAUAACGGAACAAAAACUUUUCAGAAACCUUCUCUCUUACUUGGCUGUUUAUUAUUUAUUUUAAAUUCAUAAUUUUUCCCUUUGAUAUUUCAAAUGGGUAUUAUCUUUCUCUAAUAUGAUUUUAUGAUGCUGUCUUAAAUUACUAUCAUUUUUCUUUUUUUAAUGAAAGGAACAAUUUAUUAAAUCGUCAUCCCUGUUUUUACUCGUAUUGUAUUUAUGUGCUUUAUAUUUUUUCUCUUACUUAAAUAUACUUAUGAAUACAAAUUAAUUUAGCAAUU
rnacentral:lncRNA from 1 species